rnacentral:rRNA from 1 species
CAGCAGCCACGGUAAUACAGAGGAUGCAAGCGUUAUCCGGAAUGAUUGGGCGUAAAGCGUCUGUAGGUGGCUUUUCAAGUCCGCCGUCAAAUCCCAGGGCUCAACCCUGGACAGGCGGUGGAAACUACCAAGCUGGAGUACGGUAGGGGCAGAGGGAAUUUCCAGUGGAGCGGUGAAAUGCGUUGAGAUCGAAAAGAACACCAACAGCGAAAGCACUCUGCUGGGACGACACUGACACUAAGAGACGAAAGCUAGGGGAGCAAAUGGGAUUAGAUACCCCCGUAGUCCCUGUCUCUUAUAC